rnacentral:rRNA from 1 species
GCUUGUCUCAAAGAUUAAGCCAUGCAAGUGUACGUUAAUACCAAUUGACGGUGAAACUGCGAAUAGCUCAUUAUAUCAGUUAUAAUUUAUUUGAAGAUGUCUUACUACAUGGAUACCUGUGGUAAUUCUAGAGCUAAUACAUGCGCACGGGGGGGCAACCCCCGCAUUUAUUAGAUACGACCUGUGCCCUCGGGCAGAUGGCGAGUCAUGAUAACUGGGCGGAUCGCAUGGCCUUGCGCCGGCGACGCUUCAUUCAAAUUUCUGCCCUAUCAACUUUCGACGGUAGGAUAGGGGCCUACCGUGGUGGUGACGGGUGACGGGGAAUUGGGGUUUGAUUCCGGAGAGGGAGCCUGAGAAACGGCUACCACUUCCAAGGAAGGCAGCAGG